rnacentral:tRNA from 1 species
CAUUAAAUAACCAAAAUGUAAGUAUUGAUCUUUUAAAUCAAACAAUAAUAGUUUAACGCCUAUUUUUAAUGA